GAGUGUCUGUGAAAGUAGCUCAGUAACGCGGGUACUGAUGGCAUGGACACACCUUGGGGUCCACGCCAGGAAAAGCAAAGAGCCCCAGCCUUGGUGCAGGAGGGAGAGGCUUGGACCUGCCUCAACUGAAUGUGCCAGGCUCUGCUGACUCCCCAUGGGAAACCUUGACUUGGAGGAGGGCAUAUGUGCUAAUAAAAAAGGACACUAGAGAGAGAAAGUAAAUACUGAAUGACAUACCAACUUCCGUCUAGAUUUGAGCUGCUGACCACUACAAACAGAAGCUUUGCUGAGCAAGAUUGAGAGCAUCCAGGUCUAUUGUAUAACUGUAAAUAUUUAGAAGUCACUUUGACAAUAUUAUACUUGAAAAAUAACAGUGGCAGGUUCUACCCUAGGCUUUAUGACCUUCCAAGCCAUGAGUUAUUUUUACUAGAAUUAGAGAAGCGGGCUUUAAAUUCCCUCCUUGGAGCAGACCUCAAUUACAACCAGAGAGCAGUUGGAUACCUCCGUAACUUGGAAGCCACUGUUGCACCAAUAU